GGGGAAUAUUGCACAAUGGGCGAAAGCCUGAUGCAGCAACGCCGCGUGAGGGAAGACGGCCUUCGGGUUGUAAACCUCUUUUAGUAGGGAAGAAGCGAAAGUGACGGUACCUGCAGAAAAAGCACCGGCUAACUACGUGCCAGCAGCCGCGGUAAUACGUAGGGUGCAAGCGUUAUCCGGAAUUAUUGGGCGUAAAGAGCUCGUAGGCGGUUCGUCACGUCUGCUGUGAAAACCCGAGGCUCAACCUCGGGCCUGCAGUGGGUACGGGCGGACUAGAGUGCGGUAGGGGAGAUUGGAAUUCCUGGUGUAGCGGUGGAAUGCGCAGAUAUCAGGAGGAACACCGAUGGCGAAGGCAGAUCUCUGGGCCGUAACUGACGCUGAGGAGCGAAAGCGUGGGGAGCGAAC
rnacentral:rRNA from 1 species